rnacentral:rRNA from 1 species
CGGGUGAGUAAUGCGUAGGAAUCUACCUAGUAGUAUGGAAUAGCCAUUAGAAAUGAUGGGUAAUACUGUAUAAUCCCUGAGGGGGAAAGAUUUAUCGCUAUUAGAUGAGCCUACGUUAGAUUAGCUAGUUGGUAAGGUAAUGGCUUACCAAGGCUGUGAUCUAUAGCUGGUCUGAGAGGACGAUCAGCCACACUGGAACUGAGAUACGGUCCAGACUCCUACGGGAGGCAGCAGUGGGGAAUAUUGGACAAUGGGCGAAAGCCUGAUCCAGCUAUGCCGCAUGAGUGAAGAAGGCCUUCGGGUUGUAAAACUCUUUCAAUAGGGAAGAUAAUGACGGUACCUAUAGAAGAAGUCCCGGCAAACUCCGUGCCAGCAGCCGCGGUAAUACGGAGGGGGCAAGCGUUGUUCGGAAUUAUUGGGCGUAAAGGGCACGUAGGUGGACUGGUAAGUUAAAAGUGAAAUACCAAGGCUUAACUU